rnacentral:misc_RNA from 1 species
AAGUCGUAACAAGGUUUCCGUAGGUGAACCUGCGGAAGGAUCAUUAUUGAAUGUAGUGUGUCUCUGGCCUUUACUGGACAGGACACCAUCACACAUCCAUAACACCUGUGCACUGUUGGACACUCUUACAUUCGUGUAGAAGUGUUCACUUUCAUACCUAAACAUUCUUGUAACAAAUGUAGUCUUAUUAUAACAAUAAUAAAACUUUCAACAACGGAUCUCUUGGCUCUC